rnacentral:rRNA from 1 species
AUACGUAGGGGGCGAGCGUUGUCCGGAAUUACUGGGCGUAAAGGGUGCGUAGGCGGUCUACUAAGUCAGAUGUGAAAUACCACGGCUCAACUGUGGGGUUGCAUUAGAAACUGGUAGACUAGAGUGCAGGAGAGGGAAGUGGAAUUUCUAGUGUAGCGGUGAAAUGCGUAGAGAUUAGGAAGAACACCAGUGGCGAAGGCGGCUUCCUGGACUGUAACUGACGCUGAGGCACGAAAGCGUGGGUAGCGAACAGGAUUAGAUACCCUGGUAGUCCACGCCGUAAACGAUGGAUACUAGGUGUAGGGGGUAUCGACCCCCUCUGUGCCGGAGUUAACGCAAUAAGUAUCCCGCCUGGGGAGUACGACCGCAAGGUUGAA